rnacentral:rRNA from 1 species
GAUGAACGCUAGCGGCAGGCUUAACACAUGCAAGUCGAGGGGUAUAGGCUUUCGGGCCUAGAGACCGGCGCACGGGUGCGUAACGGCUAUGCAAUCUGCCUUCCACUAAGGGAUAGCCCAGAGAAAUUUGGAUUAAUAACUUAUCGUAUAUUGAUGUGGCAUCACAAUGCUACUAAAGAUUUAUCGGGGUAAGAUGAGCAUGCGUCCCAUUAGCUAGUUGGUGUGGUAACGGCAUACCAAGACAAUGAUUGGUAGUGGUCCUGAGUGGGAGAUCCCCCACACUGGUACUGAGACACGGACCAGACUCCUACGGGAGGCAGCAGUGAGGAAUAUUGGACAAUGGGCGCAAGCCUGAUCCAGCCAUGCCGCGUGCAGGAUGACGGUCCUAUGGAUUGUAAACUGCUUUUGUACGGGAAGAAACACUCCUACGUGUAGGAGCUUGACGGUACCGUAAGAAUAAGAAUCGGCUAACUCCGUGCCAGCAGCCGCCGUAA